rnacentral:tRNA from 1 species
GUCCCUGUAGCGCAAUAGAUAGCAUGUUGGACUUCUAAUCCAAAGGUCGUGGGCUUGAAUCCCACCUGGGAUG